CCUACGGGUGGCAGCAGUGGGGGAUAUUGCACAAUGGGGGAAACCCUGAUGCAGCGACGCCGCGUGAGUGAAGACUGAUCUCCGUAUUGAAAGCUUCAUUUGUAGGGAAGUAAAGUACGGCACGUGUGCCAUUAUCCCCGUCUAACUACGUUCCAGCAGGCCCGAUAAUACGCAGGAGGCAAGCGUUAUCCGGAGUUACUGGGUGUUAAGGGAGCGUAGAGGGUUAUGUAAGUGAGGAGUGAAAGCCUGGGGCCCAACCGCAGGACUGCAUUGGAAACUGUCUAACUGGAGUACAGGAGGGGCAGGCGGAAUUCGUGGUGUAGCGGUGAAAUGCGUAGAUAUCAGGAGGAACACCGACGGCGAAGGCAGCCUGCUAGACUGACACUGACAUUGAGGCUCGAAAGCGUGGGGAGCAAACAGGAUUAGAUACCCGAGUAGUC
rnacentral:rRNA from 1 species